UUAUUGGAGAGUUUGAUCCUGGCUCAGGACGAACGCUGGCGGCGUGCCUAAUACAUGCAAGUCGAGCGAGGGUCUUCGGGCCCUAGCGGCGGACGGGUGAGUAACACGUAGGCAACCUGCCUCUCAGACCGG
rnacentral:rRNA from 1 species